GAGGGUAUAGCUCAGUGGUGGAGUGCAUGCCCAGCAUGCACAAGGUCUUGAGUUCAACCCCCAGUACCUCCA
rnacentral:tRNA from 1 species